rnacentral:rRNA from 1 species
AUUGAACGCUGGCGGCAGGCUUAACACAUGCAAGUCGAGCGGGGGAAGGUAGCUUGCUACCGGACCUAGCGGCGGACGGGUGAGUAAUGCUUAGGAAUCUGCCUAUUAGUGGGGGACAACAUCUCGAAAGGGAUGCUAAUACCGCAUACGUCCUACGGGAGAAAGCAGGGGAUCUUCGGACCUUGCGCUAAUAGAUGAGCCUAAGUCGGAUUAGCUAGUUGGUGGGGUAAAGGCCUACCAAGGCGACGAUCUGUAGCGGGUCUGAGAGGAUGAGCCGCCACAGUGGGACUGAGACACGGCCCAGACUCCUACGGGGGGCAGCAGUGGGGAAUAUUGGACAAUGGGGGGAACCCUGAUCCAGCCAUGCCGCGUGUGUGAAGAAGGCCUUAUGGUUGUAAAGCACUUUAAGCGAGGAGGAGGCUCUUUUGGUUAAUACCCAAGAUGAGUGGACGUUACUCGCAGAAUAAGCACCGGCUAACUCUGUGCCAGCCGCCGCAGUAA